rnacentral:lncRNA from 1 species
CAUCUUUGGAAAUGGAUUUAGAAAAUAGAUCUUUAGCAAUCCUUUCCAAAGAACAGAUGAGCAGAUUACAAAUAGAAUACUACACCUUCCUAAAAAUGACUAGGAAACAAAUAUCGUUCUCUGAAUGGUAUACACUUAUAAAAGAGGAUCCAAAAGAUAUUAAUAUGAUUUUAAGAAAUAGUAAAGAGAUAAGGAAUCCAGAACCAUCCAACCCAAAAAUUAUAGUCUCUUGGCA